rnacentral:rRNA from 1 species
CACUGCCGAGAAAAGCCUCUAGAUAGAAAAUAGGUGCCCGUACCGCAAACCGACACAGGUAGUCAAGAUGAGAAUUCUAAGGUGAGCGAGCGAACUCUCGUUAAGGAACUCGGCAAAAUGACCCCGUAACUUCGGGAGAAGGGGUGCUCUUUAGGGUUAACGCCCAGAAGAGCCGCAGUGAAUAGGCCCAAGCGACUGUUUAUCAAAAACACAGGUCUCUGCUAAACCGUAAGGUGAUGUAUAGGGGCUGACGCCUGCCCGGUGCUGGAAGGUUAAGAGGAGUGGUUAGCUUCUGCGAAGCUACGAAUCGAAGCCCCAGUAAACGGCGGCCGUAACUAUAACGGUCCUAAGGUAGCGAAAUUCCUUGUCGGGUAAGUUCCGACCCGCACGAAAGGCGUAACGAUUUGGGCACUGUCUCAACGAGAGACUCGGUGAAAUCAUAGUACCUGUGAAGAUGCAGGUUACCCGCGACAGGACGGAAAGACCCCGUGGAGCUUUACUGUAGCCUGAUAUUGAAAUUCGGCACAGCUUGUACAGGAUAGGUAGGAGCCUUUGAAACGUGAGCGCUAGCUUACGUGGAGGCGCUGGUGGGAUACUACCCUAGCUGUGUUGGCUUUCUAACCCGCACCACUUAUCGUGGUGGGAGACAGUGUCAGGCGGGCAGUUUGACUGGGGCGGUCGCCUCCUAAAAGGUAACGGAGGCGCUCAAAGGUUCCCUCAGAAUGGUUGGAAAUCAUUCAUAGAGUGUAAAGGCAUAAGGGAGCUUGACUGCGAGACCUACAAGUCGAGCAGGGUCGAAAGACGGACUUAGUGAUCCGGUGGUUCCGCAUGGAAGGGCCAUCGCUCAACGGAUAAAAGCUACCCCGGGGAUAACAGGCUUAUCUCCCCCAAGAGUUCACAUCGACGGGGAGGUUUGGCACCUCGAUGUCGGCUCAUCGCAUCCUGGGGCUGUA